rnacentral:lncRNA from 1 species
CUCAUAAAAUUCCAAUAAUUGAAAUAAUAGUUUACGAACGAUAUUUUUCCGCUACAUCCAAGCAAGUCUUUAAUUAUAAUCCAUAUGAUUACAAAGUAAAGCUUCUAAAAACAAAAAGUAGUCAUUAUCUUGAAUACUAGAUGAUUCAAAGCUCCAAAAUAUUCCAAAACUAAACACUUUCGAACACUAAUGCUUUAGCACGUUCAAUCAUAAAGUCUCAUCGACUCGUUGUCACCAAAAGAGGCCUACAAAAGAAAUGUAUAAAUUGAAUUAGUAUCCCAUUUAGGAACAACGACACCAAUUAACAUGAAUCCAACAGAGGUAAGUGAUUACAAAAGGUUUACAUUGUACACUCAGUUACCAAAAAAGAAAAAUAAAACAAAUAAAAAAAAAAGCAAACAGAAGCGAUCCUUAGUCCUUCUCCUCACUAAUAUAUAUAUAUCUUAGCACCUACAAAGGGAAGAUUACCGCCAACAUCACAUUGCAGUGGUACACAAUAUCUUCUAGUUUCUUUCUGAGUGUAAUAUAUAUAUAUAUAUAUAUAUAUAUAUAUAUAUAUAUAUAUUGGUAAAUGAAUACCCGUUAUAACUACGGGUAAUACCCAUAAGCGCCCAUAUAAAUUUCACGGAUAAACGGUUAUACACAUAACUGUUUGUUCGUUUAAACGGUUAACCAUAACCGUAACUGUGAACUUUAAAUGGGCGGGUAACCGCGGUUACCCUAACCCAUAGGUAUUUUGCCCAUUCCUAAGUCCAGGCUCUCUGCUCUGGAUUAAGUUUGUGCCCUUUGGAAUGGUAAAUAAAUUCAUCACCUUCCUCCACUGAAAUUUUCUUUGUGUUCAAUGCCGUACCUCCUUGGUUUUAGCAUCAAAAGCUGCAACAAAAUUUGAAGAAGAACAACAUUGUUGAAAUUGUAGUGAAUUUGAGGGGGGAAAUGUAGAGAACACUAAGCAUAUUGAGUGUCAAGCUUCUCAUAAUAUUUAUUGCCUACACUAUCAACACCUACAAGCCUAGCCCCAAUAUUAUGGAUCUUGGUUUGCCUAAAGCAAUCAAAUAAAAUUUGUUACAUACACUAGAGAAACAAGAAUGAAAAAUGCACACUUGAAUUCGCAAAAAUACUUGCCCUACAAAUGCACGCAACAUUUUCUUGUCAAAUGCACAUUCUCAUUUUACCAGCGUAACCAUACUUAAUAGUCAACAUUGGACAUUACAUAAUCAAGUUAUAAAAUAUCAUUUUUCCAAGGCCCAUGACAGAUGCGCCCAAACGAGAAAUAGGAAUGUAACUGAAGUUACAAAUCCAAGACCUAACAUGUAUAUGGAAAUUGAAAGGUCAGUUAUACGUUGUAAACAUGGUGUGCAUAUCAUGUGCAUGUCGUGUACAUACAGUGUAUAUAAUGCGUAUUUACAUAUUUGGUGCUUUUCGCAUUAAGGUAGUUUAGGACAUGGUAAGCGCUCAAGAUAACAAAGAUACAUAGUCCUCAUGUUUAUUAUCAUAUAAUAGUUAGCAAAUACAUUGUACAACUAUAUUACAUUACUUAACAUUCUAGUAGUUGUUGAUAAUUUAUGGUUGUCACAACCCAGAGCAGUUAAUUCAUUCAAUGGAAAAACAGAGAUAAUACAAUCAAAGCAUCUAGUACAUUAACAUUCAAUUCAACCAUCUUUUGCAGAGUAAAGUAAUAUGGUUUUGUCCCCAGAGAAGUGGAUAAACUUAAUUAAGCAUAUUUAGUAAUUACAAAAGAAUCAUUUACAUAGGCUUUCUUUCUAAAAAUAAAAUUCCCAAUUUAUAAUAACUUGAGCUAUAUUUAUUGAUAAAUAGCACAAGUUUUACAGAUUUGAUAUUUUUUUAAUAUAGAGCUAUAAACAAUUGUUUUAUGUUACAUUCAAAACAAAGGAAACAAAUAAUGAGAGGGGAAAGUUAUAACGAAGAGAAAAUAGAACCUUUUUGAACUAGCAAUCUCCAAAGGCCCUAGAAACUUCAAGAUGCCCCUGGUGUUGUCCAUUGAACCCACAUUACCGCCAUCCUAUGUGACAACACAACAUGUUUCAAUUAGAUUCAGAUAAAAGUAAUAAAACAUGAAUUACAUAUUAUUAUCCGGAAUUGAGGAAGAAUGAAAUCCCCAGAAAGUAGCAAACAUAAAAAGCAAUAUAAACUCAAUUAAGUCUUAAUCCCACUUUACAUAUAGCAACCCUUACCUUCUGAAUACAAGCACGCUCAUGUACGCUCCUGUCCAUAGGUGGCUUCAGGUUCCCUAGUUAAAACAAUCUCUGUCAGAUGACAUGCUUCAUUAGAACCAUGUAGCCAGUGGCGAAGCCAGGAUUUCUCGGGGGGAGGGGCGAACUUAAAAGAGUGCAAAGUUAAAAAAAAAAUGGCAACAACUAAACUUUUUAUAUAGUAAUGUCUUCCAUAAUUAAUCAAUACAAACAAAUUACAAUUAUUGCCGGCGAUAUUUCAUAUCAUGAAAAAGUCGCAUAAUAGGCUCAUUAUCAAUAAAACCAAAUACAUCUCUCUCAAUGUAAACAACCAUGCUAUCACUCAACCAUUGAUCUCCCAUUUUGUUACGCAAUGAUGUUUUCAUAAUCUUCAUAGCAGAAAAAAACUCUCUCCACUGAAGUGGUUGCAACCGGUAAUACCAAAGCCAAUGUAAGAAGCUUAUACACUAACAUAUAGCUUUCACACCUCCAUGUCUUCAUUAACUCUUUUGCAAGAUCACUAAUUCCUCUUAAUGAUCAAAACUCACUAUGCAUCUUCAUAUCAUGAAUGUAAUUGUCAAGUUGAAUUGGAAGAUUCAUGAGGUCCAUACGAUCAAAAUCUUGAGAAUAAACAUGGGCUAAACGAACAAUUUUUGCUUUGUCAAAAGAUGCAAAAUUAUUCACCGGACUCAAACAUGUCUUUGAAUUACCUAGUUGCUUCACCGAGAUUAUCUUGGUUGUUAUCACUACAAGCAGUCAGUUACAUUACGAAAGUAAAAUGCGUCUACGUGUUCAUUUCUAAACUCGACAUACAAUUCCAAGCUGCAUUCAGCAAGUACUGUAAUUUACACUCAACACACAUAUAUACAAAUGUAAAUUGGUCAUAACACCGCAAAAACUGAAAAUUCGAGAACUGAACAAACCUCAACAAUCUCGUGAGCCGUCUUCAUGUCCAAUGCCAGCACCCUAUGGAACUUUGAGCCUCACCAGCUCCGUCUUCCUCCAUGUAUCAUGAAUCUUCUCUAGCACCGCCUGGGUGAUCCCGGCCUUGGGCACACUGAUCCUUUCCCUCAGCACCAUCCCCAUUCUCCUCAGCCGCUUUAGCUCCGCGUCCUCAAUUGUCAAUUCCGCCAAGGAUGGAGCUUUCCCUCUCCUCUUCCUCAACCCCUUCACCUCCUCUUUCACCACUCCUCAUUAGCGCUCUUCUCCUCCUCCAAUACAUAAUCCGCCCGGACCCACUCCCGCUGCAACCGACGGAGGUCCCCAAAACCCAAUAUUAUAUUUUUUUUCAAACAUCCAAAACGGCGCCGUUUUACUGUUAAAUUUUUUAAUUUUUUUACCAGGACCAAAACGACGUCGUUUUGGCCUAGAUGUUUUUAAAAAAAAAUCAGAUCUAGUGUUGCUGCUGCGCGCAGCAGAAAGAACACCGGAAGGCCAGAGCGCUGCACCAGUCGGUUUUCCGGCGAGGGGAGGGGCUGAAACCAGCUCUCCAGUGGUGUUUUUCGGCUAGGGGAGUGGCGGCCGCCACUCCUCGCCCUCACAUGGCUUCGCCAUUGCAUGUAGCAGUCCCUCAGUGGAAGAUGAUCUAGUUAUUGUAUUAAACUCAACUAGUUAAAACUUGUGAGAUAGAUGAUUUUUACAUUUCGGGAGAAUAAUGGUUACAAAGAUGAUUAAAUACUCAGAUAUACAUAGAUUAACAAGAAGACAACUUAGCUAAACAAAGUUAACAAACUCUUAACAUGUUCAUUAACUAACAUUGACUCUAAAACAAAGUUAACAAACUCUUAACAUAUUCUUUAACUAACAUUGACUCUAACAUAUAUGAAACUAACCAAGUCUUAACCAUUGAUCUUUGAUGAUCGUCAGGAGGUCUUUACUCCUAAAAAUUGAUAAGGUUGGUCCAUCAUAAAUGACAUAGAGAUAAGGAACAAGUAGAAAACUACAAGCUUUAGUCAUUUGCAGCACCCCAAACUCAGAAGUCAUAUCCUUAUAACUAUUGAGAUCAUUAAGGUAAAUAUUGCAUUCUUAUAACACCAUAUGCUCAAUAACAUGCAAAAUUAUGAAAACCAUGUCAGCUCAUAAGGAACCAGUACGAGUCUAGAAAAGUUCAUUAAACUACAGAUUAGGCAAAUCUAAACAUAAAACUAGUUCAAGAACCACUUAUAAUAAAAACCCAUAAUUCUCUACCCACAAGAACUAAAAGUUAAGAAUAAACAUGCAGCACAACAAUAAUCACGCCAAUCACCAUGCGGUACACCAGCACCAAUAAUCUGUUCUUGGUUAAGGUAAUUAUUGAAUUUGUUCUGUUAUGUCCUCAACUCGUUCAAGCACAAGUGCAGUUAACAAGUUUGAUUACAAUGCUUAAAAAUUAAAACUAAUCAAUACAUGUGCUUAAUCUUCUCUUCUCAGCCUCUAACCACAUGCAGCUUCUCAAUGUUAAAUUCCUAAGAAAACAACAAAAGUAACCACCCAUAAACACCGCAAAUAGUUACUCAAAUACUUACAUAAACAUGAUUGCUCAGACUUACAAAAUGGGACCAGAUUAGGAUGAAACUUAGGGUUAGAAAAUGUAAGAAUUGGGGAAAAAGAAGCGAAUUAUGAGAGAAUCGGGAGAUGUACUUAUAUGGAAACGAAUGUAAUUGCUAAAGGUGAUUUGGGCGGCGGCGGCGAUAAGCCUCUAUGUGGGGCCUCCUGUUAGGGUCCCAGUUACAGGUCAGGAAGGAAAUGAGAAAGGAUAAGGGAAAAGAAGAAAUUAAAGACUAUUUUCAUUCAUUGCUCUCAACUUCAUUACAAAAGGGGGAUUUAUAUCCAUUCAACACAAUAGACAAAAUAUCUCAUAAGCUGAGUCAUCACCUAACACCCAUUUACUACUGUACUAAGGAUAAUAACGUUAUAUCGAGGGCCUACACAAUAAGGACCUAACAUGGCACCCUUCCCUGAAACAGCAUGUCCUCAGGCUGUAAAGGAUGGAAAACGGGUGAGGAUGGAAUCAGCAUCCUCCUAAGUGGCGUCAUGCUCUGGAAGUCCUUUCCACUGGAUUAACCAACGAGUGACUCCACGGUUCCCUAGCUUGAAUAGCCCGCGUUGAAGAAUUUUCUCAGGGGUCCACAGGAAGGUACCUGUAGUAGAGAAUGGUGGCAGAGUUGGAGAAGCUACCAUAUGGUUCCCAAGCUAUGGUUUCAACAAAGAAACAUGAAAGGUAGGGUGAAUGCGAGACUGAGGUGGAAAGUCUAAUGUGUAGGCAACCUGACCAACCCAUGCAAUCACUUUGAAGGGGCCAUAGUAACGGGGAGCCAAUAUGAGGCAAUGAGUCUUGGACACUGAAGUUUGGCGAUAAGGUUGAAGUUUCAGGAAAACCCAAUCACCCACAGUGAAGGUGUGCUCAGAGCGUUGUUUAUCGGCGUAUUGGCGCAUGCGAUGUUGUGCAAGUUGCAAAUGCUCCCGCAACUGUUUGAGCAGUGCAUCGCGAUCACCGAGUGCUAUGUAGACGCUGUGCACCGGAGAGGAACCAGGGAGGUAAGAAGACACGGUAGGUGGAGGAUAUCCAUACACAGCCUGGAAUGGAGUCAUGUUGAUGGCAGAUUGGAAGGUGGUAUUAUACCACCACUCUGCCCACGGAAGCCACUGAAUCCAGUCCCUUGGUUUGUCGCUCACAAAGCUGCGCAAGAAGUGUUUAAGGGUGCGAUUGAGCACCUCCGUUUGCCCAUCGGAUUGAGGGUGAUAGGCAGAGCUUUUGCAAAGGUUGGUAUGCUGCUGCUUAAAGAAGGCAGUCCAAAAUUCGCUGAUGAAGAUCGGAUCCCGAUCGCUGACUAUAGAAGCCAGCAUUCCAUAGAGACGGAAGAUUUCCUUAAUGAACACCUCUGCAAUUUUAGGAGCGGAAUAGGGAUGUUUGAUGGGGAUAAAAUGGCCGUAUUUUGACAACCUAUCCACUACCACCAAGAUUGCAUUCCUGUCAUGGACCGAAGGAAGGCCUUCGACAAAAUCCAUCGCAAUGUUCGUCCAAAUCUGUUUGGGAAUAGCUAGAGGUUGCAACAGCCCCGGAGGCUUGAUGGUCUCAUAAUUGAUACGCUGGCAAGUGUCACAUGAAGCAACAAACUUUUUCACGUCCUUUUUAAGCCUUGGCCAGUGGAAGUUGCGUGUCAGUCUUUUAUAUGUGCGGAGGAAGCCCGAAUGACCCGCUGAAGGAGAAGAGUGAAAUUCCGCCAGGAGGCGAGAACGCCAAGGGGAUGAGGCUGCCAUAAACACACCUUGUUUAUAAUAAAGAAGAUCCCCUUGUAGUUUAAACAAGGCAUGGCUUGUGGGAUUGACUUGCAAAUCCUUCAGAAUGGAGGAAGCCUACGGGUCCGAAGCAUAGUCAGCUUGUAUGUCCAUGAUACAGUCAAACAGGGGCCGAGACAAACCCAUUAAGGCCAGGACCUCCGGCCGACGAGAAAGGGCAUCCGCGACUGCAUUCGAGGAUCCAGGCUUAUACUCCAGGGUAUAAUUGUAGCCAAGUAAUUUCAACAACCAUUUUUGCUGAGCGGGAGUUGUAAUGCGUUGAUCCAGAAAAUACUUCAGAGUUUGGUGGUCUGUAAGUAUUUUGAAGUGCUGGCCAAGCAAAUAAGGCCUCCAUUUUUGUACUGCAAAGACCACUGCCAACAUUUCUUUGUCAUAUACCGAAAGAGCAUGAUGUUUCAGAGCCAAUGGCUUACUAAGAAACUCAAUAGGGUGGUUCUCCUGCGAUAAGACCGCUCCAAUUCCGCUAUCCGAAGCAUCACACUCAAUGGUAAAGGAUUUGGUGAAAUCCGGAAGAGCGAGAACCGACGUAGACAUCAUGGCUACUUUGAGAGCCCCAAAAACCUGAUCCGCCGCAAGAGACCACUGGAAACUAUAUUUACGGAGCAAGUCAGUGAGUGGCUUUGCUAGCAACCCAAAGUUCCGAACGAAUUUACAAUAGUAACCGGCGAAACCCAAAAACCCUCGAAGGUCUCUAAUGUUGGCAGGAGACGGCCACUCCAUAAUGGCAGAAAUUUUGGAGGAAUCCACUGAUACACCCUCUAAAGAAAUAACAUGCCCUAAAUAAGCAAUAGAACGUUGGCCAAAAAGACAUUUUGAAGGCUUCAAUUUCAGUUGGUGGGUGUGGAGAAGCUCAAAGACAGUAGCCAAGUGAGCAACAUGGUGUGCCAGCGUGUCACUGAAGACCAAUAUAUCGUCAAAAAAGACGAUGACCGAUUUCCGCAACAAGGGCUUCAAAAUUGAAUUCAUCAAUGCCUGAAAUGUGGCUGGGGCGUUGGUAAGGCCAAAAGGCAUGACCGUGAACUUGUAGUGACCUUCAUGGGUAUGGAAAGCUGUUUUAGGUAUAUCGGCCUGGUGCAUCCGUAUUUGGUGAUAUCCCGAACGCAAGUCCAGUUUGGAAAAGAUGGCAGCGCCGUGAAGUUCGGCUAAUAAUUCAUCAAUAACCGGAAUAAGGAAGCAAUCUUUGAUGGUGACCGAAUUCAAGACUCUGUAGUCGACACAAAAACGCCAAUCGCCCUCAGCCUUAGCUACCAACAGUGCAGGUGAAGAGAAAGGGCUAAAACUCGGUUGAAUGAUACCGGUGGAUAACAUGUCAGCCACCUGCCGUUCAAGUUCCGCUUUCUGGGCAUGACCAUAGCGGUAAGGGCGCACAUUCACAGGUCCGGUGCCUGGAAGGAGAGGGAUUUGAUGGUCAAAUGCCCUAUAGGGUGGCAAGGUGGUGGGUGGCUCAAAUAGGUUCGAGUAUCGUAAAAACAGUGCUUGGAGUAUUACCGGUAGUGGAGAAGAAGGCAGGGAACCAGGAGGAACACUGGAUAGUUGAGCCACAAUCUGAGGGGGAACGCCAAAACGGGCGUCUAAUGCCGCCAAAGUGGCGCAUAAACUUGGAGGAGGUGUGGAAGAUCCCACGAGACGAUAGUUUGUUCCAUUUAUCGUGAAUUCCAUGACCUUGAGGAGGAAGUUCCAACCAAUAAGGCCCAAGGUUUCUAACCAAUCAAUCCCCAAAACCAUGUCGUAGUCGGCGACGGCGAGGAGGUGAAAGUCCCCGCAGAAUGCAUAGCCUUGAAUCAGUACUGAGACUUGGGGAGCGACACUCUUCGUACGAAAGUAACGACUGAUUGCUACCAUGACCGGUUCACAACGGGAAGAAUCUGUGUGAAGGCCCAAUCUGGCAGCUACUUGAGGGUUAAGAAAACUUUGAUCCGCCCCGGAAUCAAUAAACACCUGAACCGGGGUGUUGAGAAUAGACCCUUGCAAACGCAUCGCCCGCCCGCGAGAGCGCUUCGUGGCCGAAAUGGCAUGGAGUGCAAUAGGGUGGUCAGGCUGCUCCACCAAAACCGGCUCUAGCGGUGGGAUUGGUGCACCUCUUGGAAUGGGUCAGUAAAAUCAUCCUUCGCAAGGAGGAGUAGAAUAUGGGAUUGUCGACAACGAUGGCCCGGCCGAAACUGGUCAUCACAAUUAAAAUAGAGCCCUUGUUCCCUGCGUGUCCACAUCUCCGCUUGGGUGAGUCGAAGAACUGGUUUAGAAGGUGGUUGGGUAGGGGCAGGUAGAGUGGGGCGUGGAGGAUGAGGGAAAACUGUUAGAGGUGCUGGUGUCAGUGGGUGAGGUUUAGAGAGAUUGGGAGAUGGAUGGGAAAACCCACUGCGAGUCGACGAACGGCGCCCAUUUUUAUGUUCAUAAAUACGAGCGAGUUCAAUAGCCCGGGCAAGGGACGUAGGCCGUUGGGCUACCACGUCAUCCUGCAAGUCCUCUUUGAGUCCACCCAAAAACGCCCCUAAGAGCUGCUCAUCAGACCAAUUUGGAGUACAACAUGAAAGCCGGAUAAACUGGCCGACAUAGGUCUCGACCAACUCCGUUUGAGUGAUGUGGGAGAGAGCCAUGUGGAAAUUCAAAGCGUCAGCCGGUCCAAAGCGUUGCAGCAGUUGCGUGGUGAAUGUAGCCCAAGAGGCAAGAGGAAAUCGUUGCUUGAACCAUCGUUGCCAAUGGGCGACGUCACCCCCCAGAUGCAAUCUCCCGACUGUGACGCGGCGACAAUCCUCAAUUUCAUGGUAAUCCAGAAAUUCUUCAGCCAUGGAUAACCAUCCAUACGGGUCUUCACCAAAGAAGCAAGGGAGCUCAAUCUUUAACUGUUUUGGUCCCGCCAUUGAGGGGGAAAGGUUGGGUAAGGAUGUGGUGAAAUGGGGGCCCUGGUGUGGUGUGGUGUGGGAUGGGGGUAGUGAAUGGGGGGAAAGUGGGCAAAGUCUAACGGAUGCAAGAUUGAGUCGCCGGAGUGUGGGGGUAUGAGACGAGAGUUGGGGGAAUGACUAAGGAGAGUUGAAGAAGUGUGAGGUAAGAAGGAAGGACCCGCGGCUAAGUGGGACCGCGCGAGGUGGUUUGGAUGGAGGGUUUGGGAGUGUGGAGAACCCCAGGUUGGUUGGGGAAGAGGGGUGGGGACGGCCGCAAAAGGAGAGGAGCCUAGGGAAAUGGGAAUGGACCCGAUGGGAAUCUGAAACCUGUUUUGGGAAGAGGGUGGGGUUUUGAGAGUACGAAGUUCCUUAAGGACUGUCUGUUGAAAUUUCUCUUGCCGGGCUCGGUCGACCGUCAUCUCGGGAAGCGUGUGCUGCAGAUCAGUGAGAUGGUGCUGCAGAUCAUCUUGGCGGACAUUCAUCAGCGUGACUAUCUCAUGGAACUCAUGGAGUUGCGAGAUGAUUUGUUGUUGCUGAAACUCUAUGUCGAGUUCCGAGUCGGAAACGUUAGCCACCGUGACCGACGCCUUGCUCUUGCCCAUGGAAGCCGCCUGGGCUCUGGAUACCAAAUGUUAGGGUCCUAGUUACAGGUCAGGAAGGAAAUGAGAAAGGAUAAGGGAAAAGAAGAAAUUAAAGACUAUUUUCAUUCAUUGCUUUCAACUUCAUUACAAAAGGGGGAUUUAUAUCCAUUCAACACAAUAGACAAAAUAUCUCAUAAGCUGAGUCAUCACCUAACACCCAUUUACUACUGUACUAAGGAUAAUAACGUUAUAUCGAGGGCCUACACAGUAAGGACCUAACACCUCCGGUGACGACAUGUAGGAGAGCUCGGUGGACUCCAUUGUCUUUUUCCUUCAGAGAAUAAGAUAGAGAGAGACUCUAGAGAAUUCACAGAAAUUGGAAAUGGGUUUGAACUUGCAGAUCGCUAUCUACUAUCAAACUCAAGUACAACUCUUGCACGUUAAAACCCAUAUCGCAUAUUGAAAUGGGGUUAGGGUUAGGGUUAGGGUUAGGGUUAGUGAUUUGUAAAGAAAUUGAAUGUGGGUUGGGAAGAAGAGAGUGGAUGUCGUAGAGAGAGAAUAGAGGAGAGAGAAUAUAAAUUAACUCAUUUAUAGACGAGAGUAACUUGGACAUUUUAAGAUGUAAGAAAAAAAUUAUUUUUGUUUCAUUGUUGUGCCUGUUGUGUGCUUAUUCAAAAAAUCCUAUUUAUGUCCCAAGAUUAAGAAAUUGACAUAUUUUAGGAUAUUUCCCAAAAUUCUAUGGUGCUCUGGGUGUUUUUGACCCAACAUCUAACGGUUAAAAUGCUAGUGAGCAAGGGCUUUUUUCUUUGGCCUAAUCAGAUAAAUGGUCAUCGUGGUAAUGAGGCAAUCGGAAGAUAGCCCAUGUGGUAAAAAAAUUAGGAUUUAAACCCUUGUGGUAUAAUCCGUUAGCAAUUUUAGUCCAAGACUAAUUUUUCUGUUGAUUGUCCGUUAAAUGCAGGGAUCACUGUCCUCAGGAUCCAGGUACUGGGUCUAAUCGUUUCAUCUUCUCUUUUCAAUCUUGUACAAGCAAUCAGAAGAAAUAAAAGUAUCUUGUUCUUGUUGCUAUUGUUGUUGCUGUUGAUCAUGGGUUUGC